ACCAAACAAGCUCGACAUAGUAAACCCACUGUCCGAAAAAAAAAUGUAAUAAAAAAGCAGUGAAAGAGUUCAUCGACAGCUGUACUAUCGAACAAGACAAGAUGCUCACCUCCGUGACGUCCAUAACUUUAAUGGCUGCCAGCUGGCCGGUCUUGGUGUGUCGACCCUAUAAACAAAAAGUUAAAAGAUCAUUCUCUGUUGCCAGGAAAAAAUAUAUCAAUCGUUGAAUCUUUACGAGAAUUUUAUGGUUGCCAACGGUUGGAGAGAAGUUCCAGCCCAUUAUUCAUGUAAUACGCAUGAUCAUGAAUGCUUUUAGACACUUUUUGUGUCAUUUAUCAUUAUUUAAAUGAAGAGUCAUAAUAAACUAGAAAAUCCAAGUGUAUGUGCGCAAACUCUGACAAAAAUCGUGUGUAUCCCAACAACGAGUAUGUAAAAUGUUGGUCUUUCUUCGGGAUGUUUGAAACACACCGCGAAACCGCACACUCAGUGUCAUCGGCCUCCGUUCUAACUUCACCCAUUGCGGGACUGGUGGACUCAAGUUAAUGCAGCCUCAAAGGAUUUUAGACGAACAUUAUGAAAGGGACAGGCGAUGAGAACAAUCAUUUGUUUUAAUAGACCGGAUAGAGGCUACCCAGGUCAUUAACUUCGUCAUUUUGGCACACAUGCACGUUUCGUUUGUAUUCGGUUUCACCUGAGGAGAUAACAAUCAACGAUGAAACCAGCAUUUACAAUAAUUCCGCGGCAUCUUUUCUCAUUCCUCAAGUUCUCUUGAAUCAAUGCCGCUAUUUCCUGCGAAAUAGUACGUCUUUUACGCCCACGAAUCCAGCCUCUAGACUACAGUUCUCUCAGCCUUGAGUUUCCCUCCUCACCACGUCCCUGAUGAAUUUUUUUUCUCUUCCUGUCUGAAAUAUUCGCAAACUGAAAUUGCGUCUUCAGAUAAAUCGCAAGCUUAUAUUUCAAUUCGAACUUUGAGAAUGAAAUUUUCCUCCACAGUUCAACAAUAAAUAAAAAUCCUGCAAAUGGAAUUAUUUUCAGACAUGUCCUGGAUUGAAUACCGUUUUACCCACAAGAGUAAUGGUGAAUCGUGGUCCCCCUUCCCCCGACAAGGCCGAACGCACAAGGAUUCAUAUCUGUGUUUGGAAUUUGUUAGAAAUAAAAUUUCAUUUAUACGGUCUUUCAUUGAGAAGUAAGGAGUUUCACAGAGGAGACGAGCCAAAUUUCCCUCGCUUUGUCGCGAAAUACGGAAAUAGAACUGUUCGGUUGAGGAUCCUCUAGUCAGUGAACUUGAUGUCUCGAGUAUAACAGGGGCAAAGAGUGAUCAAGUCUCGGCCGCCAUCAAUGAAGUUGGUAUAUUAGAGAAUGGUAGAUCAACACUUGGCUAGAGACGAACUGAAUUCCAAUCAAUGAUUGAAUUGCAAAAAUAUUCCCCAUAUGGCAAAAAAUCAGAUGACGAUGUGAUUUUAAUUCCCGACAGUAUCUACUGGGGUAUCAACUUUCCCAUCUCAUAAAAAAUCUCAUUUUUCGCUUCAUAAUUCCUGAAAGUCUUUUCCAACUGAAGAUUUCUAAUUAAGUUCUGGAAAAGCUAUUGGAGCGUUACAGAUUGCUAACCAACUCCUGAAGUUAAAAAUAUUCAAAUCCAUCCAAUAAUGUUUCCAUCAGAGGUGACUCCCCAGUGACUGAAAAUUUUCCAAUAAAAUGCGGAAUUUCCAUUGACUCUUUUCCCUUUCAUUUUACACCAGCUAUUCUUUACUGUGAAAUAAUUCAAUGAAGGCUGGGGGAAAACAAACGGAAAUGUCACGCUGCGAGCCAACGAAAAGGGGAAAUAGUGAGUUUAAUCGGGACGAGAGAGACAGAGGAAACAAAACGCACACGGUGAAGCGAGUUUUCGCUGGUAAGAGAGAUAUAGCUGUACCCAGUGGUUUCUACUAGGAGUGAGUGUGAGGAUAACUCAGUGUCGCGUGGGAGUCAUGCCACAUGCCAGUCGUUUCCUUUUUUACGUACUUUGAAUUUUAUCAUCCGAGGAAUUGGAAAAUUGGAUAUUUAUUGACUUUAGGAAUAUUAUUUUCAUGUGAAUUGCGGUGUUUCAAGGUAACAUAACUCUUUGAAAAUCGCACCGACGACUGUAGAUAAUAAAAUUCAUAAUUAACACAAUCGCCUCGAAAAAAACAUUACGCCUAUUGAGAACAGUCGUCAAGGAGUGAAAACAGAAUCCUAUCUAUUUGAAACGCAAUCCCCAACCUGAGAACGGAAGCGAGAGUACGCGAUGAGCGUAGCAAGAUUAAAUAACUGAAAAAUGCCCCCAAAGCCCUCAAAGAUUUCACCAGUUUUACCUUGUAAACUUGACCGUAUGUGCCAUUUCCAACGACUUCGAUGAGCUCGAAGAUGCCUGCUGGAUCCUGCAAAGAAAUUAUAUGCAUUAAAAUGGUGGAAAACCAUCAUACCUUACACUGUAUGCCAUUGGGGGAAGAGGGGGAGAGGUGCAUUCUCGAAGGCAUUCCAUAAGUCAUUAUAUUGAUGACGCACACGCGUCAGACAACUCUCGACUCGUGUUCUCCAGUCACGCUGCGUUCUAUUCUGAUUAGUAAUACAUGAACAACGUGACGAAAAAAUAAUCUACAGAAAACUAUCCUAAAACUGCUGGUGAACCAUUUUGCCCACAACCAUCUUAUCGCUUAAAGUUUAGUCAUUUCAAUUUAAAUCUCAGCAAACGAUUAGGAGUUGGACUGUUUCAAAAAAACAACAAAUAAUAAACAUAUUAGAACUUUCGAUAACUGCACCCGUUUUUUAGAAGUUUACAGUAAUUGAAUUAAGCUCACGAAAAUUAAACAAAUUUCAAUCAUUCAUGGAUUGAUAAACAAAGAAUGUUUACAGAUAUUCCCCAUACUCGAUUCAACGGAGAAAUAUUAUGAUUAAAGGAAAUAAAGAAUGUGAUUUGUUUUUUCCUAGUUUUCCACCUCCGAUAGAAAAAUCCCUCUUCGACAAUACAUUUAGUAUUCUACAUGGUUCCUAUGAUUUCCAAACAUUCCCAUACCAAAACCCAAAAUCCACGUUUGAAAAAAUAAUCAAGAACUAAACUGAUAACAAAAACCCGAACUCCUG